rnacentral:rRNA from 1 species
GUGGGGAAUAUUGGACAAUGGGGGGAACCCUGAUCCAGCCAUGCCGCGUGUGUGAAGAAGGCCUUUUGGUUGUAAAGCACUUUAAGCGAGGAGGAGGCUACCGAGAUUAAUACUCUUGGAUAGUGGACGUUACUCGCAGAAUAAGCACCGGCUAACUCUGUGCCAGCAGCCGCGGUAAUACAGAGGGUGCAAGCGUUAAUCGGAUUUACUGGGCGUAAAGCGCGCGUAGGUGGCCAAUUAAGUCAGAUGUGAAAUCCCCGAGCUUAGCUUGGGAAUUGCAUUCGGUACUGGUUGGCUAGAGUAUGGGAGAGGAUGGUAGAAUUCCAGGUGUAGCGGUGAAAUGCGUAGAGAUCUGGAGGAAUACCGAUGGCGAAGGCAGCCAUCUGGCCUAAUACUGACACUGAGGUGCGAAAGCAUGGGGAGCAAACAGGAUUAGAAACCCGUGUAGUCC